CUCAUUUAUAAAUACAAUACAAAUGACAGUUUAAUGGUAAAUUUCUACUGGUUAAUGAGAUUCUCUGCUGAGUACAAUACAAGAAAGUAAAAUAUCUGAUUAAAAAUAGGUAAAAAUUCAAAACUUUGAAUCCAAUUAUUUUUAAGUGUACCAAUUUUCGUGGAUUAAGGAUGGAUUGUCUUUUCCUGGAUACCUGAUUUGCUGUUUUACCACAGUUUGCAAACAAGGCUAUCAGAAACUUGAAAUUUGGUGAUCACUUAAAAGUGUAAGUCACCUAUACCAAGAAAUCCAUCAAAAUUGGUACACAACAAAUGAUAAUGUAUCCACAGUUUUCUACGAAAUAAAAAGUCUCUGCAACUAUAAUCUAUUGAAAUAAAAAAUCACCAGAUUUAAGUCUUUAACAAACAACAACCUUAUAAUACCUAGAAAUGUUGCACAUCAAUCAAUAUGUCACUCUGUUAAUACCAAUACUGUGAAAUAAAUGUUUUCAUUGAAAAUGAUAUCAAAAUGACAAGGCAGGAACAUAAGGCAAUAAAUAUUCAGCACCAGGUCUAAUAACACUACAGACUAUUUAUCUACAUCUAAACUGGCAUAUUUUCUUUAGUUAUUAAAACCAUCAUAUAUCAAGCAUCAAAAUUUUGACAAUAA
rnacentral:lncRNA from 1 species